ACUCCUACGGGAGGCAGCAGUGGGGAAUAUUGCACAAUGGGGGAAACCCUGAUGCAGCCAUGCCGCGUGUGUGAAGAAGGCCUUCGGGUUGUAAAGCACUUUCAGUAGGGAGGAAGGUAGUGUAGUUAACAACCUGCGCAUUAUUUGACGUUACCUACAGAAGAAGCACCGGCUAACUCCGUGCCAGCAGCCGCGGUAAUACGGAGGGUGCGAGCGUUAAUCGGAAUUACUGGGCGUAAAAGCGCAUGCAGGCGGCCUGUUAAAGUCAGAUGUGAAAAGCCCGGGCUAAG
rnacentral:rRNA from 1 species